CUUGUGGCAAUGUUUCGCCGGCUGAAAACCCUUAGCGGGUCCACUGCUUGUUUUUCAUGCCCACGGCCACAACCUGUUUGAUAAUAUUCCCAUGUCGAGAUUUAAUUUUAUUUCAGUUUGAAUCAUUAUUUUGAUUCAUUUACAGAUGACAAAUCUAGCAACAAAGCUGAGCAAAUCUCUUCUUCCUUACAGUAAAAUCCUCCUUCAGUUUCGUACACUCUCUACCUCACAUACACCACUUGAAGAAACCCUCAAAGCAGCAGUUGAAUGCAAAUCCUACUCAAAAUUCCCUGACCUUUUCGACUCCUUUAAACAAUCUAACAACAUCCCAAGUCCUUUUUCUUUCCUCUCUACCUUCCCUUUUAAUCUCAGGACUCAAGUCAUUGAUGAAAUCAUCCAAUCUUUGAUCCCCAUUAGACCCCGCUUUCGAAACUCUAUCGUUUAUAGCUCUCUUCUCUCAUAUACCCUUAAAAAUUCCAAUCUUUUCUCUCUUUCUCUUGCUAUAAUCCAAUGCACUCUUCGUUCUGGGUGCUUACCUGUGCCUCAAACACAUGUUUCUCUCUCUUCUGCUUGGCUUGAUCGCCGGCGUGAAGGUCAGUCAGUUGGUGACAUUCUAAUGGAAAUGAAGUCUAUUGGGUAUAAUCCUGAUUGUGGUUUGUGUAAUUAUAUUGUGUUGUCUUUAUGUAAUGUUGAUCAGUUGAUCGAGGCAGUGAAAGUCUUGAAGGGUAUGAAACAAGUGGGUUGUUUUCCUGAUUGGGAAAGUUAUGGGAUUGUUAUUGGUGCCAUGUGUAGAGUUAGAAAAUGUGACGAUGCAAUUGAGAUGAUGAAGGAAAUGGUGGUGAGAAUGAGAUUGUGUCCUAGGCAGGGAGUAGUGGUGAAAGUAUUGGCAGCGUUGAGGGCGAAUAGAGAGAUGAGGAAAGCUGGUGAGAUGAUUGAGUUCCUGGAGAAGGAAGGGUACGGUGUUGGGUUUGAGAGUUAUGAGUUGGUAGUUGAGGGAUGUUUGGAGUGUAAAGAUUUUUUUUUGGCCGCGAAAGUUGUGAUGGGAAUGACAGAGAAAGGGUUUAUACCUUAUAUCAAGGUGAGGCAAAAGGUAGUUGAGGGAUUGAUUGAUGCUGGUGAAUGGAAGCUUGCUUGUACUGUGAGAGAAAGAUUUGCAGCAUUAAGUUCAUAGUUUCUUUUUUGGUGUUUGAUACUGAGGCUUCUUAGAGAACUGAACUUGUGCAUCUUCUGUGAUGGCUCAUAUAGACUUCAGUUUUUCUUUUUGUUAGCAGCACCAACAUUUUAUCACCUCGAGACAGCUAAUCCAUGGCGGCCGUUCGGUCAUUCUCUCACAAAAUGGACAAGAGGGCGAUGGAGUUGAAACUUACUGCAUCAUGAAGCAUCUUGUUAAGCUAACAUCCAUCAUGUUACAAUUUGGAUCUGGUUGAUACACUUAAAGGACUGCCUACUACUUGACUGGAUAGCUGGGCUCCAUGGCAAUGCCACAGAUACCUUUCUUAUUUCCAGAACCACGUCUCAUCCUUAUGUAGCUGAUUCACCCCAGUCUCUGCCCCAAGAGUUUUUCACAAGCCAAUAUUCUCUACCCCUAGAUUCACCAUAACCAACUGCUGCUACUCCAUGGUUGAGUUGAUCCGCACAGGAGCCACUGAAUAUACCACUGGAAUAGAGUUGAAAUUCAAAAUUACCAGCGUCAAUUGCAACAGAGACAGGUUGCUGGGCAACUGCAGCUUGUACUCUAUUCUAAUUAUUGGCAGGUACUGCUUCAUAACCACUUAUUUUCACUGCAUGGUCCCUAGUUUUCUUUUUCUGACAGGUGCCGUCUUUUCCUUUGUAAGGGUAGUCAUUUUCGGUUGUGAUUCCACCAAUCUUUUUGAUGUAUUGAAAUGUUAUCUUCAUGUCUCCGCCUUCACAGCCCUGGGUAUCACUGCUAACGUCACAUUCCAUGAGCUCUUGUUCUGACAGAGAUACUAAUUUUCCUGUCUUGAUUUUGUUGAUGCCUUCCACAGCUGCCACUGCAGAGAAAGCCCAACAACUUCCUGUGUUGGAAAGAAACUAGCAUCAGCUGUUCUUAUUGAAAAUGAUUUGAGAUAAGAACUGACAAUUAGCAAUUAAAUGAACUUGAAUGAGAAAAACUCAUACCACAUUGACCUUGAUCCUUGAUAGGAGUCACAGCACCUUUCUUCCUCCAAUCUACUGCAGCUGGCAACUCUGUGCUAUUUUCGCACCCCGCACCGUUGUUUAUCUUUUUAGCUGUAUGUCUAUUACUCUGAAAACCCAGGUAGGUAAAUUUGAACUCUUCAUUUGUUAGGUCUGCAAAUUUGUUGUCAGUGAGCCUGAAGGAUAAGUUUUGAGAAUUGAUGUAGUCAAUGAACUGAACAUUAGAUUGGUAUAUUCCAAAACACAGUGACCAUUCGUCUCAUAUUCUCUGCCAUAUCGGGCCAGCCAGUCUUCAAACCUCUGCUCUAUAUCCCCUGGGUCAUAAAUUGGGGUCACCUUGUUUUCAGACGAUGAUACCCUUGAAGGUAUCCAUAGAAUACACAAAACCAUUAGAAUCAAGCCACAGCUCCUCAACGUUAUUGGUGCCCUCAUGGCUAGCUUAAGAUGUUGAUAGAGUAUAGGGGCUUAUAAAUGAAGAUGUAGACUGGGACAUGUAUGUUAUUAUUAUUAUUCAGAUUGGUAACGCAAUGAAGUCAAUAAUUUAUGCUAGUUCAUACCUUUGUUCAAAGU